CAGCUGCUGCAGCUGCACCAUCGAUUUAGAGAACUUUCGUGGAAUACUUUUGUGCAAUAUUGAGCUCAAAUCAUUUCUCGAGUUAUCCAAAACAAGCAUUAGCCUGUUGACGCCGAAGCAUUUGGGUGAUGGACAAGAGGAACGAUUUUACCAGCGCUGCAAGCAGAUCAAGCAGAUGGCCGUGAAGCUUGACACGGAGUGUCUGUUUCCAAAAUUCCAUCUCGUCAGAAAAAGUGAAAUUCAGGAAACGGCCAAGAGACAGUUGGCAUUCAACACAAACGGAAGCGGUGGUGGAAGAUGUAAAUGAAGGUCACGCCGCUGCUAUGGACCAACGGCAUGACGCCAUUCAUUGAAGACGGCUUCCAGAAUAAAUCAAACGGGUGAAGCAGCAAGCAAGUUCCAAAGUCUUUUCCAGUUACAUGAA